UUAAGGCAAACUGUGUAUUAAUCAGUGGUGCUCUGAACAUGUUUUGUUGAUGGUCAUCUAAUCAAUCCUGCACUUUGUAUGCAGCAUUUGUGGUAUAAUUAGAUGAUCAUCAACAAACAUCUUCAUUACUCCACCUCCUUCAUUGACUUUCAACUGGUUGGGCUAACUAGCUACAUUUUUAUCCAAGACAAAGAGCGUUAAAAAUCUCUGUGGCGGCUGAGAAAGACUGGACUGAAGGGGAAGAUAAAGAAGGAACUGGGUUUCAUCAAUCUUACUGGAAAAUCAUAUUCUUUUACUUCAAUUUUGGGUGUGUUUUCUCUUUUAUCAAAAAGUUAUGAUUUUUAACAUUGGUUCUCUGUGAUUGUGUGUA